CAACUUUCCUAUUGACAGUGCCUUUUGCCUAACAGAAACUUUUCAGUUUCAUGAGGUCCCAUUUAUCAAAUACUGGUCUUAGAUCCUGAGCCACUGGUAUUCUGUUCAGGAAAUUGUCUUCUGUAUCAAUGAAUUAAAAGAUACUUCCCACUUUAUCUUCUAUGACAUUUAGUCUAUCAGCUUUCAUGUUGAGUUCCUUAAUCCAUGUGGACUUGAGUUUCAUGCAAGGGUGUGCACAAAUCCCAAAAGAACAUUACGAAACUUUGAAGUUGGACAUGUGUGUGCGUACCUUAUUACAACCAGAUAUCAAAAAUGGAGUUUCCUAUCCUCGAAGGUUCAGUGGUUCCUCCCUCCCUCUACCAAGAAUGAAAAUUGACCUAUUCUUAUCUCCUUGUACAAAGCUGAAGUUCAAGUGGAUCAAGGACCUCCAAAUAAAACCAGG
rnacentral:lncRNA from 1 species